CGAGUGCAGUGUGUUGAGGCUUAGGCAACACGAGGCAGAGGAAGACCAAGAGACCUCAAGGCAGUACUACUGCAUCUUCAUGUCUCAGGCCUGAUGUCUCUACGGUCUACCUGCUUGCUGAUUACUUUAUGAAUACUAGUGACAAAAGUCUGUCAUUUCUGAUGCUGUGGUGCCUCUUACCUCAGCUGGGCGCACUAACUCAGCCCCUCUGCAGCUCUUGGACCACCUGAAUCCUUAGAUCUCAUCUCCCAUUCAGCCCCCUGACCAGGUAUCCCAAAUAAUCUCAAGUAGUAAAAAGAAAGUGACCCAUAGCCUGUGGCUGUCAACUGAUAAGAUUAACCCAAGGAGAGAAGCUAACAGAUCACUGGAAGAUCAGCACACACAGCUGUACAGGAAAACGAAGUGAGAAAAUUAUUUCUCCAGAAUUUUCUAAGGAAAGCGACUCCAUGAAUCUAAAUCUAAAAAUCUAAAUCAAGAGAAAACAAAUGUAGUAUUUUCACAUGAAAAAAUUGUGGAAUAAUAAACCAGUUACAUGACUUAACUGGGUCAACUAAUUGUUUCUGAAAAUCAAACAAUUAUGUAGUUAAAGUGGUUGGCCAAUUUCAUA